AUGCACUGUCUUUGAACCUUUUUGGUCUUACCUGUGAUCUCCAAGGCCAAGCUACAGUGCUAUAGUAAAUUCAAGCUUGUUCAUAACUGGGGCUUCCUGGCAACAUUCCCAGGUUUCUCUUUUAAAUGCAAGUUACAUCU